GCAACUUCUACCCAUUGGUUGGUCAAAAGUCUUAUAUUUUGAGCUGACUAAGAUUCAAAGUUGCAAGAAUAAUACGUGACUUACCGUGUAGAUGAGGCACAGAUUCUUAUUUACAGAAGUAGAAGCGUUACAA
rnacentral:snoRNA from 1 species